rnacentral:misc_RNA from 1 species
CAUUUUUUUAUGUUUUGGCUUCCAGAGCAAUAUGAGAAUUAGAUGCCAUUCUGUUUGGGCCAAGAUUAGAAUCAAAUUGAGCAGCAACAUGACCGUCGAAACAAUACAAAGAAGAGAAACCAAUUCUUCCAAAUGGCAUGGAGCUUAGCUUCACAGAAGACAUCUGCUUGGAUUACAAGGCUUCUCCUUAGAUUGCAUGAUUCAUGGAAUACUGGUGGUG